rnacentral:rRNA from 1 species
GUCGUAACAAGGUUUCCGUAGGUGAACCUGCGGAAGGAUCAUG